ensembl:lncRNA
AUGAAGGGGUUAAAUUUUCCUGAUGGUAUCAGCUUGGUGGCCUGGAGAAAUCUGUCCUGGAGUCCUGCAGUCCAUGGGGUUGAGAAAAGAGUCCUACACAACUUAGUGACUGAAAAACAACAAUUCUUUUAUUUUGCAUAUUUACUCCAAUGCUUCCUGGUGGCUCAGAUGGUAAAGAAUCUGCCUGCAAUACAGGAGACAUGGGUUUGAUCCCUACGUUUGGAAGAGCCCCCGGAGAAGGAAAUGACAACCCACUCCAGUAUUCUUGCCUGGAGAAUUCCAUGGAUAGAUGAGCCUGGUGGACUACAGUCCAUGGGAUUCCAAAGAGUUGGACACAACUGAGCGACUAACAUUUUCACUCUAAUGAGGCUUUACAAAGAACAUGAGCUUAAAGAAAGCAGCGGUGUAGUUAUAGGAGGUCACUUUGAAAUCGGAGUUUUAAAAGUUAUGUGACCUUGACCAAGCUCUUUAACCCCAUCAGGUCUGUUUUCUCAUCUUUAAAAUUGGAAAAUAACACCUACCUAAUGGGUUUGCUAUGAAGAUUAAAUAGAUUAUGAUAUCCAAAUAACUUAGCACAGUGUGGCACAUACUGUAGGAACUGGAGAUGGAAUAAUUACCAUUAUUCCUGAGUUAGAAUUUUAGAGUUCAAGAAAGGAGCACUGGUUCUGUUGCCAAAAUCUUGGCUCUCUGUGCACCAAUGCCAAACAGAAAUAUGGAGACAGAGUUAUGGAGGAGAAAGAGGGAGUGGCUUUAUUACUUUGCCAGGCAAGGGGAAACACAGUAGGCUAGUGCCUUAAGAACUCUGCUCCCCGCCCCCCCGCCCCCCGCCUGCUGCCCCCGCCCCUAGCCUUCACUCCCUGGUAGGUUGGGGGAGAGGUUUUAUGUAUAUAGUUAGAUGGGGUAUGCGAUAAGGAUCAAGGCAGUAACAGUUUUUCAUCCUUUCUUAUGCAGAGUUUCAAAAGGAUGGGGUGGCUGAAAAGAUGGGGGGUCUCAGGUGGUCUCAUCCCCUUAUCUUGGUGAGUCUCUCUGGUCCCUUUAGUUUUGCCUCAUGUGGCUUUGCUUCUGCUUCUCCUUUAAUCAUUAAGUGUUUUGCCCUUUGGAACUCAGAGAAGGUCACGGAGGGUUGAGUCUUGCUGACAAGAAAUGGGGGACAAAAAGGCCUUCAUGUCCAGGAGUCCCUCUGGGCCCUGCUCAGCAUCAAUUUAAUGAAGGGACCUGGUCUACUCACUGUGAUACCAGGAAGUCAGAAACCACCAUUAUCUGAGCUUGCAGCUUACUUGUGAAACAGAUAAUUCCAGAAGCCACUACAGAAUGUAGGACAGGACUCCACUGGACACCUGGUAGGGAAGACUAUGAAUUUCCAACUGAAUUUUGUCUUAUGGUGAGCAGGCUAUGAACACUGUAUAUUUAAAAUAAACAAACACUUAACUGCUUAGAACAAAAUAUAUUAAAAAUUUUUUUAAAAAAUAUUUAUUUAUGGCUGCACUGAGUCUUCAUUACUGUGUGUAGACUUUCUCUAGUUGUGGCAAGUGGGAGCUACUCUCUAGGUGCAGUGUGUGGGCUUCUCAUUGUAGUGGCUUCUCUUGUGGAGCAUGGGCUCUUGGGCCCACAGACUUAGUUGCCUGGUGGUAUGUGGAAUCUUCCUGGACCAGGGAUCGAACCUAUGUCCCCUGCAAUGGCAGACAGAUUCUUAACCACUGGACCACCAGGGAAGUCUAUAUUCAAUUAUUGUGUCAGAGAAAGGCAUUUAACAGGUUCCUUCUAAAAUACUCAAAAUGCUCUGCUAAAUGAAAAGAACUUGUGCUACACCUAAGGUAUCUUUAACAUUAAACAUUCUGGCAACUUUACUGCUUUACAAUUGAUUCUUGGCAACUUGUCCCUUUAUUCUUUGAAAUUCUUAAGUAACUUUCUUUCUGACUUCAUUUAUUUAAAUAUCCCAGAAUAGCCUCUUGAGCUAUAAGUUUGAUGAUCAGGGAAACUAUUUUUAGCAGGUUGAGUACUUUGUGUGAUGGAUGUUAGCUAUACUUUAUUUUGAGAAGGACAAAUUGUUAAAAGGAUUGAUAGUAUUAAUGGUAUUUUAAACUAAAAGCUGUGCCAAGGCAAAUGAGACAGGUAGAUAUGAAGUUUGAGACAGAUCAGGGAUGUGUUUCUGCCAGUUUAGCUAAAGGCUGUCCAGGCCUCCCACAAGAUAAAAGACAGGGAGGCCACAACUCAGACAUAGUGAUCUUUUAGGUAGUUUAGGCACUUCACCCUAGGGUAGGCUUGUUAACCACAAACUAGGUUCUACUUUUGGUGGAUGUUGAGCUAAAAAUCACAACCAAGCCAAAGAUGGGGAGAAAAAAGGAUUUAUUACAUGCAGUUAGAACAGAGAACACUGGGGAUAUUUUCUAAAACAGUGUCUCCCUGAACAGCAAAAUUGGGGAAGUUUUAAGCUAAGGAAGGGUACAUGCAUAUCCAUGAAAGGCCUUGUGUGGUGUAUGCAUAUUCAUGAAGGGGUUCUAGCUGAGAAUUCUCAACACAGAAUUGAGACACAUUGUGAGUGAAGCCACAAGGGUCAGAAAAGAAACGUCAUCAUUCCAUCCUCCACCUGGGCGGGGGCCUUAGUUCCCAUAGAACUCAAAAGAUGUGUAUCAGAUUAUGUAUAUCCUUUGAGAAGGAACCAGGACUCUGUUUUUUAUGGCUGAACUUUUGUUUCUUGACUAGUUUUCCUUUAUUCCCACAUUCCCUCAUUUUCCUUAUGAUAAUGAUUGUUAAUUACUGAGACCUGUUUGAACAGGGCAAGUUCAGUUCAGUCGCUCAGUCGU